UACGGGGGGGGCAAGCGUUGUUCGGAAUUACUGGGCGUAAAGGGCGCGUAGGCGGCCUAUUAAGUCGGACGUGAAAUCCCUCGGCUCAACCGGGGAACUGCGUCCGAUACUGGCAGGCUUGAAUCCGGGAGAGGGAUGUGGAAUUCCAGGUGUAGCGGUGAAAUGCGUAGAUAUCUGGAGGGACACCGGUGGCGAAGGCGGCAUCCUGGACCGGUAUUGACGCUGAGGCGCGAAAGCUAGGGGAGCAAACGGG
rnacentral:rRNA from 1 species